rnacentral:misc_RNA from 1 species
AAAAUGGACGAUCAUCUUUUGUCCGGCAACUAGAGCCAGAUUGGCAUAUUGACACUAAUCCUGAAAUUGUUUCUCAGUUGGCUAGGUUUAUCAAAUAUCAACUUCGCAUUUCUCCCAUUAGACCCGAACGGACUGCGGCAAACGUGUUCAGCUCUCCAUCCUUGGAACAUUUCUUUGGACGUGAUUGAUGCUUCAACAGUAAAGCGUCUAAUUAUGAACCUAAAAAUAGAUUGUUCUUUUACAGCUCAAUGUUCUCUAGGAACUCUUCUACCGUUGUUGAUUUUCCAGACCAC